rnacentral:rRNA from 1 species
AGAGUUUGAUCCUGGCUCAGGAUGAACGCUGGCGGCGUGCCUAAUACAUGCAAGUCGAGCGAACGGACGAGAAGCUUGCUUCUCUGAUGUUAGCGGCGGACGGGUGAGUAACACGUGGAUAACCUACCUAUAAGACUGGGAUAACUUCGGGAAACCGGAGCUAAUACCGGAUAAUAUUUUGAACCGCAUGGUUCAAAAGUGAAAGACGGUCUUACUGUCACUUAUAGAUGGAUCCGCGCUGCAUUAGCUAGUUGGUAAGGUAACGGCUUACCAAGGCAACGAUGCAUAGCCGACCUGAGAGGGUGAUCGGCCACACUGGAACUGAGACACGGUCCAGACUCCUACGGGAGGCAGCAGUAGGGAAUCUUCCGCAAUGGGCGAAAGCCUGACGGAGCAACGCCGCGUGAGUGAUGAAGGUCUUCGGAUCGUAAAACUCUGUUAUUAGGGAAGAACAUAUGUGUAAGUAACUGUGCACAUCUUGACGGUACCUAAUCAGAAAGCCACGGCUAACUACGUGCCAGCAGCCGCGGUAAUACGUAGGUGGCAAGCGUUAUCCGGAAUUAUUGGGCGUAAAGCGCGCGUAGGCGGUUUUUUAAGUCUGAUGUGAAAGCCCACGGCUCAACCGUGGAGGGUCAUUGGAAACUGGAAAACUUGAGUGCAGAAGAGGAAAGUGGAAUUCCAUGUGUAGCGGUGAAAUGCGCAGAGAUAUGGAGGAACACCAGUGGCGAAGGCGACUUUCUGGUCUGUAACUGACGCUGAUGUGCGAAAGCGUGGGGAUCAAACAGGAUUAGAUACCCUGGUAGUCCACGCCGUAAACGAUGAGUGCUAAGUGUUAGGGGGUUUCCGCCCCUUAGUGCUGCAGCUAACGCAUUAAGCACUCCGCCUGGGGAGUACGACCGCAAGGUUGAAACUCAAAGGAAUUGACGGGGACCCGCACAAGCGGUGGAGCAUGUGGUUUAAUUCGAAGCAACGCGAAGAACCUUACCAAAUCUUGACAUCCUUUGACAACUCUAGAGAUAGAGCUUUCCCCUUCGGGGGACAAAGUGACAGGUGGUGCAUGGUUGUCGUCAGCUCGUGUCGUGAGAUGUUGGGUUAAGUCCCGCAACGAGCGCAACCCUUAAGCUUAGUUGCCAUCAUUAAGUUGGGCACUCUAAGUUGACUGCCGGUGACAAACCGGAGGAAGGUGGGGAUGACGUCAAAUCAUCAUGCCCCUUAUGAUUUGGGCUACACACGUGCUACAAUGGACAAUACAAAGGGCAGCGAAACCGCGAGGUCAAGCAAAUCCCAUAAAGUUGUUCUCAGUUCGGAUUGUAGUCUGCAACUCGACUACAUGAAGCUGGAAUCGCUAGUAAUCGUAGAUCAGCAUGCUACGGUGAAUACGUUCCCGGGUCUUGUACACACCGCCCGUCACACCACGAGAGUUUGUAACACCCGAAGCCGGUGGAGUAACCUUUUAGGAGCUAGCCGUCGAAGGUGGGACAAAUGAUUGGGGUGAAGUCGUAACAAGGUAGCCGUAUCGGAAGGUGCGGCUGGAUCACCUCCUUU